AAGAAGUGAGUCAGCUGUGUUGAGAACAGAAAGAAAGAAACAAGGAAACAAAAAAGAAGGGUCUGGAAAAGAAAAGAAAAGAAAAGAAAAGCAAAAGAAGAAGAAACUCACACAAACACACACCACUUGCCAAGCUUCAAUAGAAAGUGAAGUUAUUUGGUGUUUUCUGACUCAAUCUUUCUUCAAAGUUUUGUUCUUUAGUUAAUCCCUCCUUCUCCACAUGGGUCGCCUUCUUCUCUUUCUCAUUAUUCUCAGUUUAUUUGCAUUUUCUUUCCUCUCAGAUGUACACUCAGCAUCGUUCAAGAUUGUGAACAAGUGCCGUUACACGAUAUGGCCGGGAUUACUCUCCGGCGCCACCUCACCGGCGUUACCCACCACCGGAUUCGCCCUUAAGAGCGGAAAAUCAAGGACUAUAAACAUCCCGAAAUCUUGGUCGGGUAGGAUAUGGGCGCGGACACUAUGCGGUCAAGACUCCGACGGAAAAUUCUCAUGCUUAACCGCUGAUUGUGGUUCCGGCAAAGUAGAGUGCGUCGGUGGAGCUAAACCUCCGGCCACAUUGGCGGAGUUCACUCUGAACGGAGCCGAUGGUUUGGACUUCUACGACGUGAGUUUGGUCGACGGUUAUAAUCUUCCGAUGUUGAUCGUGGCUAAAGGAGGGACGAGAGGUGGGUGCAGCGCCACCGGAUGUCUUAUCGAUCUUAACGGCGGUUGUCCGGCGGAUCUUAAGGUGGCGCGUGGUAAUAGGAGUGGUGUUAGCGUUGCGUGCAGAAGCGCGUGUGAGGCUUUUGGGGAUCCUCGUUAUUGUUGCAGUGAGGCGUACUCUACGCCUGACACGUGUGCUCCAUCUGUUUAUUCGCAGUUUUUUAAGCAUGCUUGCCCACGCGCAUAUAGCUACGCGUAUGAUGACAAGACCAGCACCUACACAUGUGCCUCUGCUAACUAUUUGAUCAUGUUUUGUCCCUUACCUUACACAAGCCAAAAACUGUUGGGAGCUCGGAAAGAUGGGGCACAACUUCCUCUUGUGAACAAAACUAUGAUGUACUUAUCAAAACAACAAUCUGGCAGUUCGACAUCUACAGGUCUGAUCCAAACGCAGAUUAUAGCUUAUGUUGUGUGUAUCGCUGUGGCGUUUUUCCUGUCCUGCCCCCAUUAACACUCUUUAUGGCUCACUUUGUAUCGACACUUCAGGCUGAAAGUGACACAAAGACUACCCGGUUCUUAAUGUAUACUCGACUUGAAGGAUAUCAUAUAGAGAAAACACACUGUAAAUAUUGUUUCUAAUGUUAUCUCUGUUUUCCCUUUAAAUAUAUUUCAACUAUCACUAGUUGAUUGGAGCCUAGAUUUUGCUAGUUAUGAGAACCUCAAUAUCUGUUACAUAUUGAUGGUUGCAAUAGUGCGUACAUGAGUUUUAUGGAGUGAUGCUUCGUGCACAGUUUUGGGAUUCAACAUGCUAAAAAUGUAUAUUUGGCACCAUAUUAAGUUUAUAGGAAAAAGCUUUGAGCAUGUACUUACAUUAUUUCUGUACCAUUUUUAUUUGUUUGGUACCCUUAUAUGGCUAUUGGUUUUAUCCACAAAAA